GCGAAAGUGGCGGAAUUGGUAGACGCGCUAGCUUCAGGUGCUAGUACCGAGAGGCGUGAGGGUUCGAGUCCCUCCUUUCGCACCA
rnacentral:tRNA from 1 species